UAGGACGAACGCUGGCGGCGUGCCUAAUACAUGCAAGUCGAACGAACUCUGGUAUUGAUUGGUGCUUGCAUCAUGAUUUACAUUUGAGUGAGUGGCGAACUGGUGAGUAACACGUGGGAAACCUGCCCAGAAGCGGGGGAUAACACCUGGAAACAGAUGCUAAUACCGCAUAACAACUUGGACCGCAUGGUCCGAGUUUGAAAAAUGGCUUCGGCUAUCACUUUUGGAUGGUCCCGCGGCGUAUUAGCUAGAUGGUGGGGUAACGGCUCACCAUGGCAAUGAUACGUAGCCGACCUGAGAGGGUAAUCGGCCACAUUGGGACUGAGACACGGCCCAAACUCCUACGGGAGGCAGCAGUAGGGAAUCUUCCACAAUGGACGAAAGUCUGAUGGAGCAACGCCGCGUGAGUGAAGAAGGGUUUCGGCUCGUAAAACUCUGUUGUUAAAGAAGAACAUAUCUGAGAGUAACUGUUCAGGUAUUGACGGUAUUUAACCAGAAAGCCACGGCUAACUACGUGCCAGCAGCCGCGGUAAUACGUAGGUGGCAAGCGUUGUCCGGAUUUAUUGGGCGUAAAGCGAGCGCAGGCGGUUUUUUAAGUCUGAUGUGAAAGCCUUCGGCUCAACCGAAGAAGUGCAUCGGGAACUGGGAAACUUGAGUGCAGAAGAGGACAGUGGAACUCCAUGUGUAGCGGUGAAAUGCGUAGAUAUAUGGAAGAACACCAGUGGCGAAGGCGGCUGUCUGGUCUGUAACUGACGCUGAGGCUCGAAAGUAUGGGUAGCAAACAGGAUUAGAUACCCUGGUAGUCCAUACCGUAAACGAUGAAUGCUAAGUGUUGGAGGGUUUCCGCCCUUCAGUGCUGCAGCUAACGCAUUAAGCAUUCCGCCUGGGGAGUACGGCCGCAAGGCUGAAACUCAAAGGAAUUGACGGGGGCCCGCACAAGCGGUGGAGCAUGUGGUUUAAUUCGAAGCUACGCGAAGAACCUUACCAGGUCUUGACAUACUAUGCAAAUCUAAGAGAUUAGACGUUCCCUUCGGGGACAUGGAUACAGGUGGUGCAUGGUUGUCGUCAGCUCGUGUCGUGAGAUGUUGGGUUAAGUCCCGCAACGAGCGCAACCCUUAUUAUCAGUUGCCAGCAUUAAGUUGGGCACUCUGGUGAGACUGCCGGUGACAAACCGGAGGAAGGUGGGGAUGACGUCAAAUCAUCAUGCCCCUUAUGACCUGGGCUACACACGUGCUACAAUGGAUGGUACAACGAGUUGCGAACUCGCGAGGGUAAGCUAAUCUCUUAAAGCCAUUCUCAGUUCGGAUUGUAGGCUGCAACUCGCCUACAUGAAGUUGGAAUCGCUAGUAAUCGCGGAUCAGCAUGCCGCGGUGAAUACGUUCCCGGGCCUUGUACACACCGCCCGUCACACCAUGAGAGUUUGUAACACCCAAAGUCGGUGGGGUAACCUUUUAGGAACCAGCCGCCUAAGGUGGGACAGAUGA
rnacentral:rRNA from 1 species